GGGCUUGACAUCCCACGAACCUGCCUGAAAGGGUGGGGUGCCCGCAAGGGAGCGUGGAGACAGGUGGUGCAUGGCUGUCGUCAGCUCGUGUCGUGAGAUGUUGGGUUAAGUCCCGCAACGAGCGCAACCCUCACCCCUAGUUGCACCGGGUAAAGCCGAGCACUCGAGGGGAACUGCCAGCGUCAAGCUGGAGGAAGGCGGGGAUGACGUCAAGUCAUCAUGCCCCUUACGUCCUGGGCUACACACGUGCUACAAUGGCCGGUACAAAGGGAUGCAAUACCGCGAGGUGGAGCUAAACCCAAAAAGCCGGUCUAAGUUCAGAUUGGAGUCUGCAACUCGACUCCAUGAAGGAGGAAUCGCUAGUAAUCGCGUAUCAGCACGACGCGGUGAAUACGUUCCCGGGCCUCGUACACACCGCCCGUCACACCACGAAAGUCAGCUGUACUCGAAGUCGCUGAG
rnacentral:rRNA from 1 species